GACGAACGCUGGCGGCAUGCCUAAUACAUGCAAGUAGAACGCAGUUGCGAACAGGUGAGUAACGCGUAGGUGACUGCCUCAUAGCGGGGGAUAAAUAUUUGAAACGAUAGCUAAUACCGCAUACUGUUAGAUGGACCUGCGUUGGAUUAGGUAGUUGGUGCGGUAAAGGCUCACCAAGGCGACGAGACAUAGCCGACCUGAGAGGGUUGUCCGCCAAAAUGGGACGUGGACAAGGCCCAAACUCCUACGGGAGGCCGCAGUUGGGAAACUUUGGCAAUGGGCGGAAGUCUGAAUGCGGCAAGCCCGGGGAGUGAAGAAGGUCUUCGGAUUGUAAAGCUACUUUGUGAGAGAAGCGUUACCCAAACAGAAAGGGCCGGCUAACUACGUGCCAGCAGCCGCGGUAAUUC
rnacentral:rRNA from 1 species